GAUGAACGCUAGCUACAGGCUUAACACAUGCAAGUCGAGGGGCAGCAUGAACUUAGCUUGCUAAGUUUGAUGGCGACCGGCGCACGGGUGAGUAACACGUAUCCAACCUGCCGAUGACUCGGGGAUAGCCUUUCGAAAGAAAGAUUAAUACCCGAUGGCAUAGUUCUUCCGCAUGGUAGAACUAUUAAAGAAUUUCGGUCAUCGAUGGGGAUGCGUUCCAUUAGGUUGUUGGCGGGGUAACGGCCCACCAAGCCUUCGAUGGAUAGGGGUUCUGAGAGGAAGGUCCCCCCACAUUGGAACUGAGACACGGUCCAAAACUCCUACGGGAGGCAGCAGUGAGGAAUAUUGGUCAAAUGGACGAGAGUCUGAACCAGCCAAGUAGCGUGAAGGAUGACUGCCCUAUGGGUUGUAAACUUCUUUUAUACGGGAAUAAAGUGAGGCACGUGUGCCUUUUUGUAUGUACCGUAUGAAUAAGGAUCGGCUAACUCCGUGCCAGCAGCCGCGGU
rnacentral:rRNA from 1 species